AGUGAACGCUGGCGGUAGGCCUAACACAUGCAAGUCGAACGGCAGCACAGUAAGAGCUUGCUCUUACGGGUGGCGAGUGGCGGACGGGUGAGGAAUACAUCGGAAUCUACUUUUUCGUGGGGAUAACGUAGGGAAACUUACGCUAAUACCGCAUACGACCUACGGGUGAAAGCAGGGGAUCUUCGGACCUUGCGCGAUUGAAUGAGCCGAUGUCGGAUUAGCUAGUUGGCGGGGUAAAGGCCCACCAAGGCGACGAUCCGUAGCUGGUCUGAGAGGAUGAUCAGCCACUCUGGAACUGAGACACGGUCCAGACUCCUACGGGAGGCAGCAGUGGGGAAUAUUGGACAAUGGGCGCAAGCCUGAUCCAGCCAUACCGCGUGGGUGAAGGAGGCCUUCGGGUUGUAAAGCCCUUUUGUUGGGAAAGAAAAGCAGCAGGUUAAUACCCCGCUGUUCUGACGGUACCCAAAGAAUAAGCACCGGCUAACUUCGUG
rnacentral:rRNA from 1 species